GUCGGAAUUAGAGCAGCAUCCCAGCGCACUAUAGUGAACAUCCAAUCAGCGUGUGUGUCAGUUGACAAUCUUGAAGUCCAGCCCCUUUAAAGCCCAUAGAAAGUCUAUGUAGAGAAUGGGUGGGACUGCUCUAUACAUCACAGACCAGUCAAAAGAGGAAAUGAAGGGUGACGGAGGAACAGACAAUACCAAUUAGGAUUAUAAACCUUUUAUUAUAAAAUAUAUAUACACUUAAAUAAUAAAAAUUAUUAUGUGGUUUUACUUGCAAA